UAUGAUGAUUCCUAAUUUCUUUUAGACUACUAUCAAUUUUCAACAUAGGAAAUCUAGUUUGUAGUUAUAAGUUAACUAAUACAUGGUUGGACACGUAACCCUAAUUCCCUUUUUAACAAUCAUUUUUUUUUUUGAACAACCAAUAUCUUUAUAAAUAAAGUUGACAUAUCUUUCUUCUCAGGCGUCCACGUCGCUUUGGAGAGAGGGGGAAAAGAUGACACGUGUCAUCCUCUCUUUCAAAGAUAAUUUUUUUUCGGUUUGCCCAAAUCUUAAUCCUUCAUUUCGUCUAGAUUUUUCUCGCCUACUGCGAAACUUGAUAGUCACCGGUUACAAAUCAAAGGUUCACCCACAUCAUCCACUAAUUAAUCAUUUACUCUCCCCCUUUAGUUUAGUAAUCGAUUCAGUUUUUGAGAUCCCGAAUAAUCUGAGAGGAUUUUUAAUUACGAUGGCGACUAAUCUGAGGUGGAGGAUUAGCCAGAGAUGGAAGGAAAGUGGGUAGGGAGGACGCCGGAGGGAGUGGGACUGGUGGUGAAGCUAGCUGGCGGCGAUUAAGUAGCAGACAGGGAUGAUUGCAAAGGUGGCGCGUUUUGUUGAUCAUAAAACAAGAGAUAAGUAUUUUUGUGAGUGACUGAUAGCUUAUUUUCUUUGCAGUAAACUGUCAAAGAAUAAUACUGAACAUAAUUUGCAGUGUCGCCACCUGCUAAAAAGAUAUGUGGAACUUUAAGUCAAUGACAUAUGAUGAUCCAAUGAAGUUUGGGUUUGGCUCACCAGGAAUCAAAGAUAAGAAGAAGAAGAAGAAGAAAAGAAGAAGAAGAAGAAGAUGAUGAAGAAGAAGAAGGCCUUCAAGCUAUAUAACAUUUGACGACCCAUCCCUAAUCAAUCAGGUUCCAUCUCUUUCUCUCCCUCUCUCUGUUAUCCAUCGUUCCUCACUAUUUCUAAUCAGUUUUUAUGAUGCCUUCGUUUGAGCUAAUUGUAUAUGUGUGGUUACGGAGUUGCCGGAACUGGGUAAAGAAUUUUCUGCUCAUAUGCUUAAUUAGUACACUCACGUGAGCUUCCCUUCCCUUUUUCACUAUCUUAUCUUGCUAUGAAAUUGAUAUGGUAAAAGCUUAAUAAUGUAUAGAAUGUGGUUACUAGCCUUUAAGUUGAAGGCAUGGUUUCUGUAUAAUGUGUAUGAAAUUCAUAUGUGUAACAGAGAUGAUGAGCUUUCUGGAUUGGAAGUGUGGGGGUCUUCUUUUGAGAUGCCAAAACUGGAUGUUUUAAAAUGUUUCUCUAAUUGAUUUGCCAUAAUUUGAGUUGUUAGAUGUGACCACGAGGAGGCAAAUUCAGUAGACAGAUCAUCAGAGGUAUCUUGAACCAAAAGUUACAAGCAUUUUUUCACAUAAUCAGGAUAGUGACUUGAAAAUGCUUCAGAAGAAAAACAGAAUUGGUCUUCUUCUGCUUGAAGUUAAAACGUAAGCCAAUCUGAAGAAAAGUACAAGAAGAGCAAGGGUUGGUGGUUGCAAUUUUGCUCCUACUCUCCAUCGACAAUAUAUGAGCUCAUGUUGUGUCUCAGUUCUGACUCAUGUCUAACUCGCCCACCACAAAUUCAUACACAACAAUAGACAAGAAAUAGCUCAAAUUUUAUCUGAUCACCGGCCAUACAGGCUCUGCAAUAGUUCCAAGUAUAUGAAGACAACUUCAAACUCUCCUAACAUAUCUCAAAAAAGCAAUCGUGCAUUCCGAACUGAGCCUGAGCAUCUUAGAGAGCAUGCCAAAGAAGAAACAAAUGCAAUUUCUUAUGAACCUGGUGUGGAGAAGACCCUAAGGAGAAACACUUCUUCGAACCCCUUUCGAUAUACCCGAAACCACACGGAAAUCACUCACUCACCCAUCUGCUUCAUGGUGAUUCUUGCAUAGAUGAGAAAUGAUUAGCACAAGACGUUUGUUGGUUGUUUAAUAUUCAUGCGGGAAAUUGUCUCCUUCUUCACUAUUUGGUAAAGCUAGAGGAAACUGUGCAACAAAUAUACUAUGGUUAAAUUAAAUAUAUGAUGGGGCUGAUUAUUUGAAUUGUUUGAGCUUGAGAUUUUUUCUUUGUCAACUAGCAGGAGAUUUACUUAUAUAAUUUGUACUGUGAUGCUUGAUUUACGUGAUUUCUUUUUAUGUAAGGUAGCAAGUAGGACAAUAUUUUCUUUUGAUCAAACAAGUAGGACAAUAUACUCAAAAGUAUUAUUAUCAGGCCAAGCCAUUGAUUUAGAAGAGUAAAUGUUUAACUGUGAUGGAUAAAACACACUGACAGGAAGAAAAGGAAUAAAACAAUAAAUCACCACAAUGAAUUACAUAUGUGAAUAGCAGAAACUCCAAAAAGAGAAAGCUUGAUAGCAUUUGAAGAAAAGGAUGUAUUGUCCUAAAUAUCAUAAUUACCCAUGGUUUAAGUAAUCGGUGACUACCAUCUCCAAUUAGAUGAACAUUGUUUGGUGACAAUACAUCUAUCUACAUAUAUAAAUAAAAAAAAAAUAAAUAUAUAUAUAUAUAUAUAUAUAUAAUAUUUUUGUUCAUCUAAAUAAAUACCUAGAAAUGAAAAGAUAUUUUGUGAAAUCAUUUUAACUGUAAUUAAAAAGUGAGGAAACAACCAAACUUACAAUAUCUACGAAAUAAAUAUCAGUCCCAUCUUUUACAACAAUAUUAUAUGUCUACCACCGUAGCUUGAAUUUGCGAGCAUGUAACUUUGUUCAGCAUGGACAACUGUGUAGUUACGGAUACAUAUGAAAGAAAAUACCUUCAAUAAAAUAUCAAUUAUGACCACUUUAUUUGACAAAACCACAGAUCAAAUCUAAACAACUUACAUGGAUUCAUAUUUUAAGUACACAAAUAUACUGAAUGAAUGAAAUGUAAGAAAAAAAGUUUCCUAAGCAAUAACUCAGUAACUACAAUCUAUAGAAAGAAAAUAAGAGUAACUAAAAAUUAAAA